rnacentral:lncRNA from 1 species
UUGAUCAGUUCACUUUCUUUCUCUGUUGUUCGUUAGGGUUUUGAGUCAGAGAUUAUACGAAUAAUCUCUCAUCUGUAUCUGAGAGAUUAUUCUGUGUUGUUGUUUGUACUUCUGUAUUGUUGAUCAUCAGUUGAUGAUCAUCUGUGUACUUUUUGUACUUUGUAUUGUUUGAUCUUACUAUUGUAAGAUCAUAUUUGGGUAUUUUGGGGGGCAAAUAUUUUAGGGUUGGAUAAAUAAGAUUUUGUCACCGUUUUAUCGCUAUUUCUUGUGUUGUCUUGUGAUUGUAGCUUGAUUCAUAAAAUUUUACAUGGUCUGCUUCAAGUGUGCAGAUCUGGGUUGUUAGUGUCAGAUCUGUUUAGAUCUUGGGAGUGUUAUAUUCGAGGCGUUGAAACCCUAACUAGGGUUUCUUGGAAGUGGUGAAGACUCUCCUCGCUUUUCGUGAUUGUUAUACUCUGUGUUGGUCUCUAAAUCCUUGAAGAUUUAGGGCAAACUGACCAGUGUAUUGUUCUUAUUGUUGACUGUAUUUGAAUCUACAAGUUCUUGUGAACUUUAGAUCGAGUUUUUUGGAUCUGCUUGCACCCACUGUGAGAUUGUUCUAUCCUUUCUCCUUUUAUUUUCUGUUGAUUGGAUUAGUUGAAGUCGGGGUAGUGAGGACCGGCACCUUAUUUGUUUGUAUUUGUUGUGAUCUCUCUUGAUUGUUUGUUUUUUGUUUGUUUGGCUCCUGUAUUAAGACAUGUCCAGGCACUAUAAGUGAUGAACCUGGAAUCUUGACACUGAUACAGCUUCGCCUUUUGGGUCUUAUUCUUGUAUUGUGUGAUAUUAUCUGUGCUAUAUUGUGUUUGUUUUGUAUGAUCUGUUAUUUGGUUAAUCAUGACUGGUAAAGAUGAUAAUGCUGGUUCAUCUCAUACCUUGAUUAGCAAGCUAGAUAUAGGUGAUCCUUUGUUUUUACAUCCUAGUGAUUCUAGUUCUUUAACAAUUGUUGGUAUAAAAUUAAAAGGUACUGAGAACUAUAGGGUUUGGUCUAGUGCUAUGAAAUUGGCUCUUGAAGCCAAGAACAAGUUUGGAUUUGUUGAUGGUAAAUGUAAAAAGAACACUGAUGAUCCUGUUUUAAGUAGUCAAUGGGACAUAUGUAAUUCUGUUGUCUUAAGUUGGUUAUUAAACUCUGUUUCAGAAGAAUUGUACUUAGGACAAGUGUUUUCCAAAUUAGCUUCUGAAGUCUGGACAGACUUGAAAGAAACUUAUGAUAAAGUUGAUGGCUCUAUAGUGUAUGAUCUUUAUAAAAAAAUAAACUGUAUUACUCAAAAUGGAAGUUCAGUUUCUGAAUACUAUCAUAAGUUAAAUACAAUAUGGAAACAAUUUGAUGCUGUUCUUCAGUUACCUACUUGUUCAUGUCAAACAGCUAAAGACUAUAAUGACUUUUCUACUUUAAUCAAACUUAUGCAGUUUCUUAUGGGUUUAGAUGAUAUCUAUCAACCUGUAAGAACAAAUUUGUUAACUAGAGAGCCAUUACCUUCAGUCAAGGUUGCUUUUUCAAUUGUGUCUAGAGAAGAAUCACAUAGAAACACAAGUGCAGGAUCAAAAGGUCAAAAUGUAUCAUUUGUUUCUAAAACAAAUCAAACUUUU